GCCUCAGUGUGUUACCAGGCAUCCACCUCAGAUAUGUAGGCAGGCUCCAGCGGGGAACUGCAUUUAAAGAUCAGACUUAAUAGGAAUAUGUUCACCAGAUGUGGGUUUCAGAUGUGGAGGGUGUCCUCAGGUCCAUGGCCAGACAGCUGAAUGCUUCUCAGGGGAAAUAUCCUCGCGAUAUAAGUGGAAACAGUCCAGUGUGUCCUCCUCCAUCUUCUUCAAACCACAGCAGGUCUCUCUCCAGUAAAAGAUGUGGCUUUAGAUGUUCUUCAGCUAUUUGACAGCAGAACUCAAGACAUAUCACAUACUUUGUUUGUCCCAAAAAAACAGACAGACUGAAGUUGUCCUGUAAAUUGUUUUAAAUUUUUGCAGCAAAUAGGGAUGUCACCAAGAUUCAGGCACCUAUCCCAGCAGGCACCAUACAUCCAACAUCAGAAAGACAUUGACUGUAAACAAACGAUAAACUUUUGUUGGUAAUAAAAAUCAGGUUGACAUCAAAACCCAACGUUGGCUACUUGACACUGUGACAUUAACAGAUAUUGGAUUUUACCCAACUCUAUAAUGUCUUCUAUGUCAAGAUGGCGUUGGCAUCGGGAAGAUGCUGGAUUUUGGUUACUUAACAGCACACCUUAAAACUAAUAAAAUACCAACAUCAGCUGUGCUCAGUAUUCUAUGUCAAUUUUACAUUGGCAUUAGACGCUGUCCUGAUAUUGAAUAUUGGUCACCCAACAUCACAAACUACAUUCAACCAAAUAACAACAUCUUGUUGGAGGCCUGCUGUGUGC